ensembl:lncRNA
AGGUGGAAGGGUGGUCCCAUGGGGAAGUUGUCUCACUGCCCAGCCGCGCAUCACCCAUCCCCUUCCCCCUCUGUGAGGGAGGGGCUCCCAUCUGUACUGUGGCUUCUCUGCUCUCAGUUUACCCACCCUCACCAGCUUUCUGACUUUUCUGUCUAGAAGAGGUGGCACCUGGCUGGGCCUGGCUCUGCCACUGACUCCACCACUGGCUCCUUUGCAACUCUGGGGUUGAAAGUGUGCGCUUCCAAGCCAGGUCUCUGGGAUCUGAAUCCCAGCUCCACCGCUGAUUGGUUGUGUGACUCUGGACCCACUGGACUUUGUUUUCUCACUUGUAAAAUGGAGCUGAUAACAACAGUCCUUCCCAUGCAGGGUUACGGUGAGGAUCAGGUGAAAAAUCCACCCGCUCUAUUUAGAGCAGAGCCGGGCAUCAUCAGCACUUGGGCUGCUCAGAGAUAAUGUUUCAGUAGUGAUGGGACCUGCUUCACAGGGUGGACCCAUGGGGCCUGCAGUCACUCUGGCCGACCCUUCGACCCUCAAGAACCUCCAUCAGCGCCAGGGAGCCUGGGCUCGGAACCGCCUCUGCCCCAGCAGCGCCCUCUUUGUGCCCUUCCCUCCCCUUCCUGCGCCCCAAUUUCCAGAGGGUCUAAACACACUGACCCCCAAAGAGAAGCCCUGCAGAGCAGAGACCUCACCCUGAGAAGCCUGCACCCCCUGGACAUCUUGACUCCAUCCUUCAGCAUCCUCUCCCUCACUGUAUCCUGACUGCUUGGACCACCCUCCUCUCCAGCCCCCACUGAACAACAGAUUGGGAAGGGGAAUUUCACAAGGCCGGAAAGCUCUGCUUUGGGAAGCCAGGACCAUUUUCACCUCCUCUGGGGAUGAGAUUGAGGGAAUCCUGGCCAAGAGGAAACAGAUGCCCCCUCAGCCCCUCCCUGGGCAGCCUGGGAGCACAGCCUCAGCCCAUGCAUCCUGUCUCUCCCGACCAGCCCCUGCUGCCUCACCCUGCUCCAGUGGUUUCCCCAUUAUCUGUUACUCUGAUGAAGACCCCCUCAAGGGUCGAGGGCCAAAGUGAGGUGGGCUCUCAGGGUGCCCUGUAAGCUUUGGAUUUACUGGACAAAGA